UGGGGAAUAUUGCACAAUGGGCGCAAGCCUGAUGCAGCCAUGCCGCGUGUGUGAAGAAGGCCUUCGGGUUGUAAAGCACUUUCAGCGAGGAGGAAGGUGGUGAACUUAAUACGUUCAUCAAUUGACGUUACUCGCAGAAGAAGCACCGGCUAACUCCGUGCCAGCAGCCGCGGUAAUACGGAGGGUGCAAGCGUUAAUCGGAAUUACUGGGCGUAAAGCGCACGCAGGCGGUUUGUUAAGUCAGNUGUGAAAUCCCCGGGCUCAACCUGGGAACUGCAUUUGAAACUGGCAAGCUAGAGUCUCGUAGAGGGGGGUAGAAUUCCAGGUGUAGCGGUGAAAUGCGUAGAGAUCUGGAGGAAUACCGGUGGCGAAGGCGGCCCCCCUGGACGAAGACUGACGCUCAGGUGCGAAAGCGUGGGGAGCAAACAGAUUAGAUACCCUGGUAGUCCACGCUGUAAAACGAUGUCGAUUUGGAGGUUGUGCCCCUUGAGGCGUGGGNUUCCGGAGCUAACGCGUUAAAUCGACCGCCUGGGGAGUACGGCCGCAAGGUUAAAACUUAAAGGAAUUGACGGGGUCUAGCU
rnacentral:rRNA from 1 species